UACGUAGGGUGCAAGCGUUAAUCGGAAUUACUGGGCGUAAAGCGUGCGCAGGCGGUUAUGUAAGACAGAUGUGAAAUGCCCGGGCUUAACCUGGGAACUGCAUUUGUGACUGCAUGGCUAGAGUGUGUCAGAGGGGGGUAGAAUUCCACGUGUAGCAGUGAAAUGCGUAGAUAUGUGGAGGAAUACCGAUGGCGAAGGCAGCCCCCUGGGAUAACACUGACGCUCAUGGCACGAAAGCGUGGGGAGCAAACAGG
rnacentral:rRNA from 1 species